GUAAGGGAGGUGCGGGAACAAGGACUGGGCAAGACCGGUGCCAGCCGCCGCGGUAAUACCGGCAGUCCGAGUGAUGGCCGAUAUUAUUGGGCUAAAGCGUCCGUAGCUGGCCGCGCAAGUCCAUCGGGAAAUCCAGGGGCUCAACCUCUGGGCGUCCGGUGGAAACUGUGCGGCUUGGGACCGGAAGAUCCGAGGGGUACGUCCGGGGUAGGAGUGAAAUCCCGUAAUCCCGAACGGACCACCGAUGGCGAAAGCACCUCGGAAGCACGGAUCCGACAGUGAGGGACGAAAGCUGGGGUCUCGAACCGGAUUAGAUACCCGGGUAGUCCCAGCCGUUAACGAUGCCUGCUCGGUCUGUCGCGCGCCACGAGCGCGUGAUGUGCCACAGCGAAGGCGAUAAGCAGGCCGCCUGGGAAGUACGUCCGCAAGGAUGAAACUUAAAGGAAUUGGCGGGGGAGCACUACAACCGGAGGAGCCUGCGGUUUAAUUGGACUCAACGCCGGACAUCUCACCAGCACCGACAGUAGUGAUGACAGUCAGGUUGACGACCUUACCCGACGCUACUGAGAGGAGGUGCAUGGCCGCCGUCAGCUCGUACCGUGAGGCAUCCUGUUAAGUCAGGCAACGAGCGAGACCCGCGUCCGUAAUUGCCAGCAGCAUCCACGCGAUGGCUGGGUACAUUACGGAGACCGCCACGGCUAACGUGGAGGAAGGAACGGGCAACGGUAGGUCAGCAUGCCCCGAAUGUGCUGGGCAACACGCGGGCUACAAUGGCCGGGACAACGGGUUCCUACACCGAGAGGUCGCGGAAAUCCCUUAAACCCGGUCGUAGUUCGGAUUGUGGGCUGAAACUCGCCCACAUGAAGCUGGAUUCGGUAGUAAUCGCGUGUCAGAAGCGCGCGGUGAAUCCGUCCCUGCUCCUUGCACACACCGCCCGUCAAAUCACCCGAGUGAGAUCCGGAUGAGGCCAUCAUGCGAUGGUCGAAUCU
rnacentral:rRNA from 1 species